UGAGGGAGGCUUCGUUCCCAAGGCCCCACGGGGCCAGGGCACCAGCGGGAAGACUGAGUGCUGCAUAGCCGGGAAAUGCGUGGCUGUAGAUAAGGAGCAAGGCCAGCCUGGGUUCGUGGGGGGACAAAGGCCCGGCCAGCCCCAUUCACUUGGCUCCGGGCCUUCAUGUGACCGGACUCAGGGGCAGGCAGUGUCAGGCAAAGCUGGCCUCCUGGCCCCCUCACCAAAGAAUCUGCUUCCUCAUUCAGCAGACUCCACGUUGGGAAGCUCAAGGGAGCCUGGCGAGACCCUUCAGGUCAAUCCUGUGCUUGGAUGGGUGCAGCUGGCCCCACCAAGGUGGACUGGGAAGAGGCUGGGACCCUGGGUUCGAGCCCCCGCUCUGGCGUUUACUAACCCUGGCAAGUCACGGGGCCUCUUGGAAGCUCAAACCCCUUAUGUCUGUAACAGGAUGCUCUGCUCGUGUUGGCCUCGCUUGGAUUUUGGCCAGGAUGGAAUGAGAACAUGGAGGGGGUGGUAGUUGUUAUUACUGGCAUAAAAAGAGCCACUUCCCAGCUCAUUAACGUGGAAAAUGUAAACGACUGGCUGGCUCGGGACAAAGGCCCCCGCCGGCCCUUUCCGCACUCCCUCCUCACCCCCAUAUUGUUGGAAGUUUGUUUUGAUUUUUCUGGAACUUCCAGAACAAUGGGUCAUGGAUAUUGGUUCUGUAGUUAUUCACAUUCCCAGGGAUGCAUUUGCAGACCUGAGGCCACAUUCCAAGGGUAAGGGGUCUGGAGGGAUGUUUACCUGGCUUUGUCCUGGAGCCCAGAAAGGCCGAGAGGCCGUGCCGGGGACAGGAAGUUCAGGGGCACUACUGUGUCAGCCCCGUAGCUGGAAGCCCAAGUCCAAAGCCUCCCGGGCUGAUCUGAAUCCAUCAGCCGACUCCAAGGCGGGCAAGGCCAAGAGACGCCCACUUCCUCCUCCACCUCCUCCUCCAGCGCUGACUUCCAAGAUGCUGUUUGGCCUCAGCACGAGGACUCCCCAGCCACACUGGGCUCCCACCUUACAGGUCUCACUAAUCCCUCUUUCGGCAUCCCUGGAGGCCCCACUCCAGAGCCAGGUCCAGAUUCUUCCACAUGGAGCCUUGGUCUGCCACCCCUCUGUAUCCCGAGUGCCACCACCCACCCCACCCAGGGAGGACAGGAGCGGCUGAGGGAUUCAUUUAAGGUGUGAAUGGUCAUGAGGUCCCUGCUACCGGUGCUCAAGGAAGGCUGCUCAUUAAAAGAAAACUGUUUCUAAAAUA